GACGAACGCUGGCGGCGUGCCUAACACAUGCAAGUCGAGCGGGGUCGAAGCGAGGGGUAACUCGGACUUCUACCUAGCGGCGGACGGGUGAGUAACGCGUGGGCAACCUGCCUCAAGGUUUGGGAUAACAGCUCGAAAGGGCUGCUAAUACCGGAUAUGCCUGUGGCCUCGCAUGGGGCUAUGAGCAAAGGGGAAACCCGCCUUGAGAUGGGCCCGCGUCCCAUCAGCUAGUUGGUGAGGUGAAGGCUCACCAAGGCGACGACGGGUAGCCGGCCUGAGAGGGUGACCGGCCACACUGGGACUGAGACACGGCCCAGACUCCUACGGGGGGCAGCAGUGGGGGAUCUUGCACAAUGGGCGAAAGCCUGAUGCAGCGACGCCGCGUGAGCGAAGAAGGCCUUCGGGUUGUAAGCUCUGUCUGGAGGGACGAAGAAAAGUGACGGUACCUCCCGGAGGAAGACCGACGGCGUAACUAACGUGCCAGCAGCCGCGGUAAAAGGUACACGUCG
rnacentral:rRNA from 1 species